AUGGUUCAGGGAUCAAUGCUUCUAUUGCUGGGGAGUCUCUUGGCUUCUCUAUUUACUUGAAUCGACUGAUGCUUAUGGUUACCCCUCGUCAGUCCAAGCGGAUAGACUUCAGGUCAGAAUCCUACUAGACGCUGAUUCCUCAUUUAUUCUGCCAACCAUACAGCCAAGAGACACCCUCAAUGGGAGUGGAUCAAGUUACCUAACUGCUACCCCCUUGUAUGAGCAACAUGGCAGAAGAGCUUCAGGUAACCUAGCGACUCAAGCGAGUAUUUUCGACGUAACUUAUACUGCAAAAAGGAGUGGAAUCUAUAAAAUUCUUAU